AAACACUUUGAGCACUGAAGGUCCGCAGGCCUCCGCAAUCACUGAGCAUUUGAGACUCCUCUGGGGCCAUGCAUCCACCAGCUCUCAGCGCAGAAAUUCUGAUGUCAUAUUUUGGGAGAGGAAAUAAAAUCAGGAGUGACUUUUUAGCCCUGUGUAGAGGAGAGCCAUAAAUUUAAUUAUGUAAUGGCACUGACCUUUUGAGAGCUUCUGAGGGCUAAAGUCUACAUUGAUCAUCAGCAGGUGAAGGAGGAGAAACAAGCGAGUGAGAUCCGGGGAUCAGCUUCAUGAAGAUGGGUGGCACUGUCUGAAGAGCUUUCAAAGAUCUUCCCUGAAUGUGGGCAGCUGCGGACUUCAUGUUUCUUCUCCACGCAUCAGAGCAGCGGUCCUCAGCCGAGCAUGCUCCAGGCCAGCAACUGAGACUAGGCAUGAUCAAAAUGGUGGCUUCAUCUUCCCUUCUCUUUGCCAGCCACUUGUGCAGUAGGGAGCAGAAAACAUGGUGCCGGCCAAGUGGAAGGCUCCAUUGCAUAAUACGAUUAGAGUGUGGUGGCCAGCUUCUCCACUCACUAUGUAAACGUCACACCUGGUCCAACCAAUCUGUGGGCCCUAUGUAAAUCAGACACCACCUCCUCAAGCCUGCCUAUAAAAUCCGAUUCCCAUUCGGCAUCUAUCUCUUUCCAUUCUCGCAUCUGUCUCUCUCUCUGUCUCUCUCUUUCUCUCUCUCUCUCUCUCUCUCUCUCCCUUAAAACAUUAUGAUUUUUUUUUUGCAAUUUUUUCUUAGAGAGAGAGUUGUUCUCCUAUCUCUUUCUUUUGCCUAUUAAGCCUCCACUCUUAACUCCUUUCUCUUUCUUUUGCCUAUUUAAACCUCUGCUCUUUUUUGUUUUGUUUUGUUUUGAGACAGAGUCUCACGCUCUCGCCCAGGCUGGAGUGCAGUGGCAUGAUCUCGG
rnacentral:lncRNA from 1 species